rnacentral:lncRNA from 14 species
CUUACUCAUGUUUCCAUGUAGGACCAGAGUCAAGAGCCAAACAUCUCGCUGUGUGGCUAGAAGACUAUAGAAAGGACAGAGCCCAGGGUGAUACAGAGCUGGAAAUGCUAGGGUGAAAAUCGACCACAGAUGAGGCUUCGGAAGCAUCUUUGUGUGUGAAUCGUGCAGUCCAGCGCUUCAUGACGAGCACAGCCCUCUCCCAGCCAUCCAGGGGAGUAAAAGUCAGGCCAGGAAGGACAACAAGGGAUUCUUCCCUGAAUACACACUGACAUUCAGGGAGUUCUCAAUAAAGAGUCUGCCCCACCCGCAUUUAUGGUGAAGCUCAAGAGCUGAGGAUCAUUUCUGUCAUGAAAUUAGAGGACAGAAGAUGAAGUAUUGGACACAAGAUGAACUAUUGGAGUUUAUUUGAGGAAAGGUUAAAAAAAAGUCAGUACUGGGAAACAAUAAAGAAACAGAAUUCUAGAGAAAACUGAUAGUUCUUCAGAGAACAGAAAAAGUUAUCAAAACCACACUAUAUUACCACAAACAUAAGAAAAAACAUUAGUCAAGUACAGUAUACUGUGAUAAAAACAAAACAAACCCCCAGAAAAGUAAUGAACUCCUAGAAUUAAAAGCAUAAGAAAUAUGUGUAUGCAAGCAUAUGCAUGUGCAUGUGAGUGCACUGCUCACAGAGGCCAGAAGAGGGCGCCAGACCUCUUGAAUCUAGAAUUACAGGCACUUAUGAGCUGACCCCUGUGGGUGCUGGGAAGGAAAUUCUGU